rnacentral:rRNA from 1 species
AAUAGCUCCUGGAAACGGGUGGUAAUGCCGGAUGCUCCAACAUUUCACAUGUUUUGUUGGGAAAGCGUUAGCGGUAUGAGAUGGGGUCGCGUCCUAUCAGCUUGUUGGUGAGGUAAUGGCUCACCAAGGCUUCGACGGGUAGCCGGCCUGAGAGGGCGACCGGCCACAUUGGGACUGAGAUACGGCCCAGACUCCUACGGGAGGCAGCAGUGGGGAAUAUUGCACAAUGGGCGAAAGCCUGAUGCAGCGACGCCGCGUGCGGGAUGAAGGCCUUCGGGUUGUAAACCGCUUUUAAUUGGGAGCAAGCGAGAGUGAGUGUACCUUUUGAAUAAGCACCGGCUAACUACGUGCCAGCAGCCGCGGUAAUACGUAGGGUGCAAGCGUUAUCCGGAAUUAUUGGGCGUAAAGAGCUCGUAAGCGGUUUGUCACGCCUGGUGUGAAAAGUCCAUCGCUUAACGGUGGAUCUGCGCCGGGUACCGGCAGGCUAGAG